AACGAACGCUGGCGGCAUGCCUAACACAUGCAAGUCGAACGGGAUCCUAGCUUGCUAGGUGAGAGUGGCGGACGGGUGAGUAACACGUGGGAAUCUGCCUUUUUGGUUCGGGAUAACCGCGGGAAACUGCGGCUAAUACCGAAUGCCCUCGAGAGAGGAAAGAUUUAUCGCCAGAAGAGGAGCCCGCGUCCGAUUAGGUAGUUGGUGGGGUAAAGGCCUACCAAGCCGACGAUCGGUAGCUGGUCUGAGAGGAUGAUCAGCCACACUGGGACUGAGAUACGGCCCAGACUCCGUACGGGAGGCAGCAGUGGGGAAUAGUUGGACAAUGGGGGCACCCGUGACUCCAGCAAUGCCGACGUGAGUGA
rnacentral:rRNA from 1 species